rnacentral:rRNA from 1 species
AUACAGAGGGUGCAAGCGUUAUCCGGAAUUACUGGGUUUAAAGGGUGCGUAGGCGGUCCCAUAAGUCUGUCGUGAAAUGCAGCGGCUUAACCGCAUGAACUGCGAUGGAUACUGUGGGACUUGGAUAAGGUUGAGGCAGGCAGAAUGUGGCAUGUAGCGGUGAAAUGCUUAGAUAUGCCACAGAACACCGAUCGCGAAGGCAGCUGGCGAGGCCGGUACUGACGCUCAGGCACGAAAGCGUGGGGAUCAAACAGGAUUAGAUACCCUGGUAGUCCACGCAGUAAACGAUGAUGACUUGUUGUCGGCGAUAGACAGCCGGUGACAAAGCGAAAGCGAUAAGUCAUCCACCUGGGGAGUACGAUCGCAAGGUUGAAACUCAAAGGAAUUGACGGGG